CCAAAGGCUCUUGUAAGAGCCACCCCAUCUUCACAGAAGUGCACAU
rfam:Danio rerio chromosome 5, GRCz11 reference primary assembly.